UACAGAGGGUGCGAGCGUUAAUCGGAAUUACUGGGCGUAAAGCGUGCGUAGACGGCUAUCUAAGUCGGGUGUGAAAGUUUUGGGCUCACCUGGGAAUUGCAUUCGAGACUGAAUAGCUAGGGUGCGGUAGAGGGAAGCGGAAUUUCCGGUGUAGCGGUGAAAUGCGUAGAUAUCGGAAGGAACAUCAGUGGCGAAAGCGGCUUCCUGGACCAGAACUGACGAUCAGGCACGAAAGCGUGGGAGCAAACAGG
rnacentral:rRNA from 1 species